rnacentral:tRNA from 1 species
AGGUAGGGUGGCCGAGUAGGUGGCAGGUUGUAGCCCUGUUUACAGGGGCAUUCGCCCCCCCAACCAG